UCGAGUGAGGGUCUUCACGGCCCAACCUCCAACCCUGUGUCUAUUGUACCAUGUUGCUUCGGCGGGCCCGCUCUCACGAGCCGCCGGGGGUUGUUACUAACCUCUGGCCCGUUGCCCGUCGGUAGCCUACAAAAUUAACUCUUGAUGAAUUUGUCGUCUGAGUCUAAAAACAAAUUAAAAACA
rnacentral:misc_RNA from 1 species